ACGGAAGGCAGCAGUGGGGAAUAUUGGACAAUGGGGGCAACCCUGAUCCAGCGACGCCACGUGAGCGAUGAGGUAUUUCGGUAUGUAAAGCUCUAUCAGCAGGGAAGAUAAUGACGGUACCUGACUAAGAAGCACCGGCUAACUACGUGCAGCAGCCGCGGUAAUACGUAGGGGGCAAGCGUUAUCCGGAUUUACUGGGUGUAAAGGGUGCGUAGGCGGCAUGGCAAGUCAGAAGUGAAAUCCCAGGGCUCAACCCUGGAACUGCUUUUGAAACUGUCAGGCUAGAGUACAGGAGAGGUAAGCGGAAUUCCUAGUGUAGCGGUGAAAUGCGUAGAUAUUAGGAGGAACACCAGUGGCGAAGGCGGCUUACUGGACUGACACUGACGCUGAGGCACGAAAGCGUGGGGAGCAAACAGGAUUAGAUACCCUGGUA
rnacentral:rRNA from 1 species